GCGGGCGCGGCGCGGCGCGGGAGGGCGGAGGGGAUCGGGGUGAGGGUCCCGCCGGGUACCAGGGGCGCCGGGGGUCCCGCCGGAGCGGCGGCGGGGCCGUGGCUGUGCCUCCCCGCUCCGCUCCCCUCGCACAGGACCUGGUCACCGAGACACCCAGCUGCCUGCCCGGGGAGCAGCGGCACCUGGGGAUGCUCAUGUCACCACAGAGCAGCAGCCCUUGGCCAGCAGCACCCACACUUGUUGGAAGCUCAGUGUCCUCCACGGGAGAAGCGUUGCCAGCCCUUUCCUCCUCUGAUUCUCACACAGGGAACCCUGCGCUGGAAAAUGGCAUCAUCUGCACAGACACACCAUGGCCAGCCAAGCAACAUCAGUGCUGUGUACCCAGGGGAGAAGAAGUCCUUGAUUCAGCAGACAUGACCAGGCCUGGCCAGAAAAUGGAUGUUGUUCCUGAAAGGCAGAGAGGGGACAAGGACAAACAGCUGAGCUGUUGGGUAGCAGUAUUGGGUCAGGCACCGCUCAAAGUGCAGCCCACACUGGCAGAGCGUGCAGACUGCUUGGGUUUUCUACAAAAAUGCCUUUUGACAGAGGUGUCCCUGCUCUGAGGGGCCCAAGUGGGGCUCACCAAGGGUAUUUGGCAUGCUUUAGACCCCAGGGCAGUGUCACCCCAUCCCAACCAAGCAAGCAGAAGCUGGGGAGCUUCCCUGUUGCCAAGCUGGAUUGCUAGUGAGGAAAACAUGUCCAACCUGCUGGGUAUUCCCUCGCGCCUCCUUUCCAAGCAUUAAAAGUGCUAAUUAAACCAGA